rnacentral:tRNA from 1 species
AGGAGUGUAGCUCAAGGGCCAGAGCACCGGCUUUCCAAGGCCGGGGGUGAGGGUUCAAGUCCCUUCCGCUCCUGCCA